rnacentral:rRNA from 1 species
AUUGAACGCUGGCGGCAUGCUUUACACAUGCAAGUCGAACGGUAACAGGCCUUCGGGUGCUGACGAGUGGCGAACGGGUGAGUAAUGCAUCGGAACGUACCCAGAGGUGGGGGAUAACGCAGCGAAAGCUGUGCUAAUACCGCAUGUGAUCUGAGGAUGAAAGCGGGGGACCGAGCAGCAAUGUUUGGCCUCGCGCCUUUGGAGCGGCCGAUGUCGGAUUAGCUAGUUGGUGGGGUAAAGGCCUACCAAGGCGACGAUCCGUAGCUGGUCUGAGAGGACGACCAGCCACACUAGGACUGAGACACGGCCCAGACUCCUACGGGAGGCAGCAGUGGGGAAUUUUGGACAAUGGGCGCAAGCCUGAUCCAGCAAUGCCGCGUGCGGGAAGAAGGCCUUCGGGUUGUAAACCGCUUUUGGCAGGAACGAAACGGUGUCCGCUAAUACCGGGCGCUAGUGACGGUACCUGCAGAAUAAGCACCGGCUAACUACGUG